GGAGGGAUAGUUUAAUGGUAGAACGACAGAUUUUCAUUCUGACAGUAUCGGUUCGAAUCCGGUUCCCUUUA
rnacentral:tRNA from 1 species